rnacentral:rRNA from 1 species
GGUGAACGCUGGCGGCGUGCCUAAUACAUGCAAGUCGAGCGAACGGACGAGAAGCUUGCUUCUCUGAUGUUAGCGGCGGACGGGUGAGUAACACGUGGAUAACCUACCUAUAAGACUGGGAUAACUUCGGGAAACCGGAGCUAAUACCGGAUAAUAUUUUGAACCGCAUGGUUCAAAAGUGAAAGACGGUCUUGCUGUCACUUAUAGAUGGAUCCGCGCUGCAUUAGCUAGUUGGUAAGGUAACGGCUUACCAAGGCAACGAUGCAUAGCCGACCUGAGAGGGUGAUCGGCGACACUGGAACUGGGACACGGUCCAGACUCCUACGGGAGGCAGCAGUAGGGAAUCUUCCGCAAUGGGCGAAAGCCUGACGGAGCAACGCCGCGUGAGUGAUGAAGGUCUUCGGAUCGGAAAACUCUGUUAUUAGGGAAGAACAUAUGUGUAAGUAACUGUGCACAUCUUGACGGUACCUAAUCAGAAAGCCACGGCUAACUACGUG